rnacentral:misc_RNA from 1 species
GAUGAAGAACGCAGCGAAAUGCGAUAAGUAGUGUGAAUUGCAGAAUUCAGUGAAUCAUCGAAUCUUUGAACGCACAUUGCGCCCUUUGGUAUUCCUUAGGGCAUGCCUGUUCGAGCGUCAUUUAAACCUUCAAGCUAAGCUUGGUGUUGGGUGACUGUCCGCUUCACGGCGGACUCGCCCCAAAAUUAUUGGCGGCCGGUACAUUGGCUUCGAGCGCAGCAGAAACGCGAACUCGGGCCCGUCGUAUUGGCUCCCAGAAGCUAUCUUCACAAUUUUGACCUCGGAUCAGGUAGGGAUACCCGCUGAACUUAAGCAUAUCAAUAAGCGGAGGA